rnacentral:rRNA from 1 species
AUACGGGGGGUGCAAGCGUUAAUCGGAAUUACUGGGCGUAAAGCGCGCGUAGGCGGGUUGCUCAGUCGGAUGUGAAAGCCCAGGGCUCAACCUUGGAACUGCAUACGAUACUGGCAAACUAGAGUGUGAGAGAGGAUAGUGGAAUUUCCGGUGUAGCGGUGAAAUGCGUAGAUAUCGGAAGGAACAUCAGUGGCGAAGGCGACUGUCUGGCUCAACACUGACGCUGAGGUGCGAAAGCGUGGGUAGCAAACAGGAUUAGAAACCCCAGUAGUCC